GAACUGAGGGGGGGCUGCUCCUACGUACGAGAGGACCGGAGUGGACGCAUCACUGGUGUUCGGGUUGUCAUGCCAAUGGCACUGCCCGGUAGCUAAAUGCGGAAGAGAUAAGUGCUGAAAGCAUCUAAGCACGAAACUUGCCCCGACGAUGAGUUCUCCCUGACUCCCUGAGAGUCCUGAAGGAACGUUGAAGACGACGACGUUGAUAGGCCGGGUGUGUAAGCGCAGCGAUGCGUUGAGCUAACCGGUACUAAUGAACCGUGAGGCUUAACCUUACAACGCCGAAG
rnacentral:rRNA from 1 species